GCACGAAUGGCGUAACGACUUCCCACUGUCUCCAGCAUCGGCUCAGCGAAAUUGAAUUCCCCCGUGAAGAUGCGGGGUACCCGCGGUCAGACGGAAAGACCCUAUGAACCUUUACUGCAGCUUUGCAGUGGCAUUAGGAGAGGGCUGUGUAGGAUAGGUGGGAGGCUUUGAAGCCGGGGCGCUAGCUCGGUGGAGCCAACCUUGAAAUACCACCCUGACCUCUUCUGAUGUCUAACCGCGACCGGUCAGCCCCGGUCCGGGGACCCUGCAUGGUGGGCAGUUUGACUGGGGCGGUCGCCUCCCAAAUAGUAACGGAGGCGCGCGAUGGUGGGCUCAGGCCGGUCGGACAUCGGCUGCUGAGUGCAAUGGCACAAGCCCGCCUGACUGCGAGAGUGACAGCUCGAGCAGAGACGAAAGUCGGCC
rnacentral:rRNA from 1 species